CUAUACAUGACUCUGUGCAUAUCAAUAAGCGGAGGAAAAGAAACUAACAAGGAUUCCCUCAGUAACGGCGAGUGAAGCGGGAAGAGCUCAAAUUUGAAAUCUUGAAAGGUCACCUUUCACGAAUUGUAGUUUAAAGAAGUGUUUUCUGUUACGAUCGUAAUAUAAGUUCUUUGGAAUAGGACAUCACAGAGGGUGAGAAUCCCGUCUAUGAUUGCGAUUUGUAGCUUUGUGAUACACUUUCAAAGAGUCGGGUUGUUUGGGAAUGCAGCCCAAAACGGGAGGUAAAUUUCUUCUAAGGCUAAAUAUUGGCGAGAGACCGAUAGCGAACAAGUACCGUGAGGGAAAGAUGAAAAGAACUUUGAAAAGAGAGUUAAAUAGUACGUGAAAUUGUCAAAAGGGAAGCGUUUAACACCAGUGUUGUUUUCUGAAAAUCAACCUCUGUUAGCUUUAUGCAUGUUUGUUUAGACCUAAUCAGCUAUCUUGCAUGUUCUAUUGUUUGCAGUGGUGCACUUUUCAGUUUACAGGUCAACAUCAGUUUUUUUUACCGUAAAAAAGUUAAAGAAAGGUAGCUCAUGGCUCCGGUCGUGAGUGUUAUAGUCUUUUUCCUAUGCGGUAGGAGAGACUGAGGUCUGCAGUGUAGGCUAUUUGGCUAGAUACUCAGGUGCUAUGUGAUACCAUUUCAUAAACAACUUGUUGAUUAUGUUUUGUCUAUUGCAUACUCGCUUGUACUAUCAUACCUACGCUUAGGAUGUUGAGUCGUAGAGCACGCAG
rnacentral:rRNA from 1 species